rnacentral:rRNA from 1 species
AUUGAACGCUGGCGGCAGGCCUAACACAUGCAAGUCGAGCGGCAGCGGGAAAGUAGCUUGCUACUUUUGCCGGCGAGCGGCGGACGGGUGAGUAAUGCCUGGGAAAUUGCCCAGUCGAGGGGGAUAACAGUUGGAAACGACUGCUAAUGCCGCAUACGCCCUACGGGGGAAAGCAGGGGACCUUCGGGCCUUGCGCGAUUGGAUAUGCCCAGGUGGGAUUAGCUAGUUGGUGAGGGAAUGGCUCACCAAGGCGACGAUCCCUAGCUGGUCUGGGAGGAUGGUCAGCCACCCUGGAACUGAGACACGAUCCAUACUCCUACGUGAGGCAGCAGUGGUGAAUAUUGCACAAUGGGGGAAACCCUGAUGCAGCCAGGCCGCGUGUGUGAAGAAGGCCUUCGGGUUGUAAAGCACUUUCAGCGAGGAGGAAAGGUUGAUGCCUAAUACGUAUCAACUGUUACGUUACUCGCAGAAGAAGCACCGGCUAACUCCGUGCCAGCAGCCGCCGUAAUAC